CUUUCUCAAGGCAAAUGCUAAUAGUCGACGUUGAACAGUCCUUGAUAACGCCGCCGUCCAGAGCCAAGAGGAAGAAUUUUUAAGCCAUGAGGGUAACCUCAUCAUCCUCCUUUGCUUAAUUGAAUUUCGGGUUCAAAUUUGUGUCUAUCUCACACUUAUUUGCCUCAUUCAGAUUUUGGUAGUGGGACGACAAAUAUGCGACGAUAGCGUUGAUGUACACGAAAUAAAAACAAUAAUGCCAACAUCUUGUGACAAUCUAAUGAAUGGAAAAUUUACUCAUUGAAGACCAAACGUUAAUGACAAGAAAAAUUACUUAAGGCGAGUCGGUCACAUGAAUCAACUGUUCAAUAAACAUGUAUAAACUGACUUUGAAACAGCACAAGAUAUAAUGAUACAAAAACAAUUUAGAGCAACGCGGCUGUUUAAUCUCGUAUAAUUUUUCUUUUGCAUUAAUUAAAUGAUGAAAAGCGACAACCGAUUUUAAAACCUUUAAUUUUGAUAAGCCUUUAUUAUUUGUUUCUAUAUAGAAACUACAACUAAUAUGUUUUAGAUUAACCUUUAGUCAGAAUAAAAUCAUAUAAUUUGGUUUUAAGACUAACCAGUGAGGACUGCAUCAAGGUGAUGAAUAAUAAAGCCUGAACAUACUAAGUGCUUGAAAAUUAACCAAGAUACAGGAUUUUCGAAAAAAAAAACUGAAAUGAAAAGUAACGAUGAAAGCUUUUAAACGAAUGGUAUAGACUCGAGUACUUCAUGGCAGAGAAGCAAACCCCUUUUGUGCC